rnacentral:rRNA from 1 species
UACGGAGGGGGCUAGCGUUGUUCGGAAUUACUGGGCGUAAAGCGCGCGUAGGCGGAUCUGCAAGUCGGGGGUGAAAUCCCGAGGCUCAACCUCGGAACUGCCUUCGAUACUGCGGGUCUCGAGUCCGGGAGAGGUGAGUGGAAUUCCUAGUGUAGAGGUGAAAUUCGCAGAUAUCAGGAGGAACACCCGUGGCGAAGGCGGCUCUCUGGGACGGUACUGACGCUGAGACGCGAAAGCGUGGGGAGCGAACAGG